CAAACAGACAGACGGACGGACAGAUAGAAAGGUAGACAGACACAUGCACACACUUCUUCUCAUUUCAUUUCAUUUCUUUCUUCAUUUUUUAUAUUUAGUUCUC
rnacentral:ribozyme from 1 species